GAUUGAUCAAAAUCACAUUCCAUUAUAUCCAUGGAACAAUCUCCGGCUUUGAGAUUACAAGGAAGAAGGAACACAAGCUCAAUAACAUGCCAGUUCUACAAUUUCGAAGGUCCAGAAAACAAUCGAAAUCAGUAGGUUCUUCUUCAAGUUUUCAAGAUGACCUAAAGACAAGUAAUAUGAAUCAUGAACGCUGGAGGUCAAGUAUGACCUUGUACAUUAGCGAGAAAAAAAUAAUAAUGAAGUCCAAGAGAAGAGAACACAAAUCUUUAGUGACAACUUCUUCAGAUUUCUGUAAGGGAGCAAAUACUUACCAAGCCAGAUAAUAAUAACUUAUACAGCUUUGCUUUUGCUUGCCUCUCUCUCUCUCUCUCUCU
rnacentral:misc_RNA from 1 species